rnacentral:rRNA from 1 species
GACGAACGCUGGCGGCGUGCUUAACACAUGCAAGUCGAACGGAAAGGCCCUGCUUUUGUGGGGUGCUCGAGUGGCGAACGGGUGAGUAACACGUGAGUAACCUGCCCUUGACUUUGGGAUAACUUCAGGAAACUGGGGCUAAUACCGGAUAGGAGCUCCUGCUGCAUGGUGGGGGUUGGAAAGUUUCGGCGGUUGGGGAUGGACUCGCGGCUUAUCAGCUUGUUGGUGGGGUAGUGGCUUACCAAGGCUUUGACGGGUAGCCGGCCUGAGAGGGUGACCGGCCACAUUGGGACUGAGAUACGGCCCAGACUCCUCCGGGAGGCAGCAGUGGGGAAUAUUGCACAAUGGGCGGAAGCCUGAUGCAGCAACGCCGCGUGCGUGAUGACAGCCUUCGGGUUGUAAACCGCUUUCGCCUGUGACGAAGCGUGAGUGACGGUAAUGGGUAAAGAAGCACCGGCUAACUACGUG